rnacentral:rRNA from 1 species
UACGUAGGGUGCAAGCGUUAAUCGGAAUUACUGGGCGUAAAGCGUGCGCAGGCGGUUAUGCAAGACAGAUGUGAAAUCCCCGGGCUCAACCUGGGAACUGCAUUUGUGACUGCUUGGCUAGAGUGCGGCAGAGGGGGAUGGAAUUCCGCGUGUAGCAGUGAAAUGCGUAGAUAUGCGGAGGAACACCGAUGGCGAAGGCAAUCCCCUGGGCCUGCACUGACGCUCAUGCACGAAAGCGUGGGGAGCAAACAGG